AAUUGUUCGCAAUGGGCGCAAGCCUGACGACGCAACGCCGCGUGGAGGAUGAAGAUCUUCGGGUCGUAAGCUCCUGUCGAGUGGGAAGAAUAGCCUCGGGGUAAAUAUCCCCGGGGCCUGACGGUACCACUAAAGGAAGCCCCGGCUAACUCCGUGCCAGCAGCCGCGGUAAUACGGGGGGGGCAAGCGUUGUUCGGAAUUACUGGGCGUAAAGCGCACGUAGGCGGGUCGUUAAGUCAGGGGUGAAAUCCCAGAGCUCAACUCUGGAACUGCCUUUGAUACUGGCGACCUAGAGUCCGGAAGAGGUUAGUGGAAUUCCCAGUGUAGAGGUGAAAUUCGUAGAUAUUGGGAAGAACACCAGUGGCGAAGGCGGCUAACUGGUCCGGUACUGACGCUGAGGUGCGAAAGCGUGGGGAGCAAAC
rnacentral:rRNA from 1 species